rnacentral:tRNA from 1 species
GCCCUGGUAUUCCAAUUGGCAGAGAAUGCGGAUUCAAAACCCGUACAGUGUGGGUUCGAGUCCCACCCAGGGCACCA